CAAAAACUGUUGAUUGCAUCUUCAUAGGAUAUGCAAACAAUAGUAGUGCGUACCGAUUCUUGGUACACAAAUCGAAAGUCCCGAUAUAAAUGAGAGAAUAAUUAUAGAAUCAAGAAAUGCCAUAUUUUUUGAAACUACAUUCCCUAAGAAAGAGAGAGAAUUUAUUCUCGCCUCGGUUCUGCAUCUUUUUCAUUUAUCGUCAUUCUAUUUUCUACACUACCAAAUAACAAUCGUAAGGCAAAAUUACUUCCGCUCUGUGCUCGCGGAUCUACAGUAAUUGUCCCCAAGAUACAACGGUUUAGGGAUGAUAGACGAGUCCUUAGCACUAGGAGUUCGCUAUCCGGUCGAACGGCUUGAUACUCGGGACUGAGUAUGUAAACUAAACUAAUAUGACAAAUUAAUUAUCUGAAUUCGUUGGUGUGUUUAAUCUCAUUAUGGAGGGCCCUAUUUAUAGUAGUCCAGGGGUUUCCUUGAACUGACGUGACUGUUUGGCCAAACAGGAGGUCCGAACAGGCGUGUCUCUUCGGUCUUAAACCGUCGCCACGUGUCCUGUUUGGACAAACAGAUCCGAACCAUCGUGUCUAUUCGGUCCUUAACCGCUGCCACGUCGGUUUGGGCAAACAGGUGGUCCGAACCGUCGUGUCUCUUCGGUCCUUAACCGUCGCCACGUGCACUGUUUGGGCAAACAGGUGCUCCGAACCAUGGAUAUCUUUGGGCAUUAAUUAUUCAUUCAAUUCUUUACAGAUUUGAACAAGUAAAUAUGCCAAAUUAAUCUACUCAACAUGUAGAUUCCAAAAAUAUCAUUUAAUUCCAUUAAUUACCAAAGUAAUUAUGGUAUUAAAUAUGCUAUUUAUUCCAACAAAUCUUAUAUAAAUAAUCUGUUGCAAUCAUUUUGUAUUUUUACUCGGUCAUUCCUCAAAGUCAAAAGUUGGCAAACACAACCAUCCCGCUAAAAAUGGUUUCAGAAAAUACAUUUAAUAAUGUUACAGUAUUUGACAUGUAUAGUUUUAUAUAUAAUUAUUCUAUUUUACUCUUAUUUAUAGUAUUUUUUUUAUUAAAUAUUACAGUGGACUAUAUUUUGAGAAAAAAUAAUUUGGGAGUAAUUACAAAAUCAUAGUAACAAGCAGAAGUGAAUGAUUAUUUUGGCAAAAGAGAGAACAAGUGAAGAUUUGUGUUUGUGAAGAGGAUUAUUUAUUUAUAGCAAGAUAGGAAAUCAGUGAAGGCGGGUGCAAAGCGAGAGGCCAUCUCCAACGGAAAGAUGAGCGAGGUCGAUGCGAGAAUCAUUGGCCAAAAAGGUGUUCAAAUUCCUAAGAAAGAUGCGAGUAUCGCCGAUCUUAUCCUUCCACUCCUGGGUGAGAUCAUCGUCGGCCAAUGCGACGGUGCCGGACCACAAGGUGUUGUCGUAGGCGAUCAUUCCUCCCACCCUCACAAGCUUCAGCAGCAGCUCGUGGUACUUGAUGUAGUUUUCCUUGUCCGCGUCCACAAAUGCGAAAUCGAACGUCCCUUCUUCUCCCUGUUCAUUAUUUUCACUUAUAUUUCUCUAUUCAAAUACAUUUAAUUAAAUGCAUAGACUCACAUUAUCCAGUAAUUCGUUGAUAGCAGUGACUGCGUCUGAAUUAAUGAAUUCGAUCUUAUGAGCCA